UCUUUUUAAUAGUUAUUAUGCAGAUAUUUUGAUGGAAAUUUUAGAAGUUACUACUCUGAAUGGAUCUGCGGUCUACUUUUUGUGUAGAAUCCCAUGACCACCGGGGGCCUUUUUAAAGAUUCCAACUGCAUUCUCGCUUCUUCUCUUGAUGAAAAUAUAAGGCUGUUUAGUAAAUCUACUGGAGAAGUGCUGAACACUUUUUCUGGUCUUCAAAAUUCUUGGUAAUAACUAAACAGCGAACUUUCAAAAACGACGACUUUGUAGUUUCAGACUCCGAAGAGGC